UACGGAGGGUGCGAGCGUUGCUCGGAAUUAUUGGGCGUAAAGCGUACGCAGGCGGCUUCGGCAAGUCGAGUGUGAAAUCCCGGGGCUACCAACAUCCGGGAACCUGCAUCCGAUACGUGCCGGGCUUGAGUGCGGGAGAGGGAAGCGGAAGUUCCUGGUGUAGAGGUGAAAUUCGUAGAUAUCAGGAGGAACACCGGUGGCGAAAGCGGCUUCCUGGCCCGACACUGACGCUCAUGUACGAAAGCGUGGGGAGCAAACAGG
rnacentral:rRNA from 1 species